UGGGGAAUCUUGCGCAAUGGGCGAAAGCCUGACGCAGCGACGCCGCGUGGGUGAUGAAGGCCUUCGGGUUGUAAAGCCCUGUGGGGAGAGACGAAUAAGUCGGAGCCAAUACCUCCGGCGAUGACGGUAUCUCCUUAGCAAGCACCGGCUAACUCUGUGCCAGCAGCCGCGGUAAGACAGAGGGUGCAAACGUUGUUCGGAAUUACUGGGCGUAAAGCGUGUGUAGGCGGCCGCGCAAGUCGGAUGUGAAAGCCCCGGGCUCAACCCGGGAAGUGCACCCGAUACUGCGCGGCUUGAGUACCGGAGAGGUUGGUGGAAUUCUCGGUGUAGAGGUGAAAUUCGUAGAUAUCGAGAGGAACACCGGUGGCGAAGGCGGCCAACUGGACGAGCACUGACGCUGAGACACGAAAGCGUGGGGAGCAAACAGGAUUAGAUACCCUGGUAGUCCACGCCGUAAACGAUGGGUGCUAGGUGUCACGGGCUUUGACUCCUGUGGUGCCGUAGCCAACGCAUUAAGCACCCCGCCUGGGAAGUACGGCCGCAAGGCUA
rnacentral:rRNA from 1 species